AUUGAUGGAGCUUCCGGAAGUCUUGGCGGCUGUACCAGCGCUAAUGUUCCUCCUUUUCCUGAGGUGGAGUGGGCCGAAGAGGUGGUCAGGUUGGGAAAUUUAGUGAGAAGCCUGGGUGGGGUGUUGCUGCGGUAGCCAUGUUAUAACCUGGCAAAUGGGACGCAUGAUAGUGACGUAAUUGCUGGAGUAGCUCCUGAGUUUCCGCAGAUGAGCCGCGGGAAAGGAGACGAGGGGCGGUGGCCAGGCGGUUGCCCUGACAACGGGGAACCGACCGACUCUUCCCGGUAGGGAGAGGCGAUGGCGGAAUUACUCCUCUAAUGUCAAGGUAUUCUAAUCACAGAAUUACUGGAGCAUCAAGAAGUGCCUGCAUGCUUGGAAGGGCUUCCAGGCAGAUGAACACACCUCAGCACCGGGUGGCAUUUUCCCAGGGUGCAACCCGGACCGGCUCUGGGUCACACUGACAAGCCUCUCCGACUCCCCAGGCUGGGUUGGGUGCUCCUCCCUCUCAUCCCACAGCGCUAUGUCUCAUGUCUUCUGGAAAACUUGCCAAUCCCUAGUGACAACAGGGUUAACAAUUUCCAGAGACAGCCCGUACAUAGAAGGAAUGUUUACUGAAAAAAAUGAAGAGGGGUCAGGGCAAGGCGAGGAGCAAGAAGCACCCCCAAGGAAACAGAGAAGACCAGUACAA
rnacentral:lncRNA from 1 species